rnacentral:rRNA from 1 species
UACGGAAGGCAGCAGUGGGGAAUAUUGCACAAUGGGCGCAAGCCUGAUGCAGCCAUGCCGCGUGUAUGAAGAAGGCCUUCGGGUUGUAAAGUACUUUCAGUCGUGAGGAAGGUGUUAAGGUUAAUAACCUUAGCAAUUGACGUUAGCGACAGAAGAAGCACCGGCUAACUCCGUGCCAGCAGCCGCGGUAAUACGGAGGGUGCGAGCGUUAAUCGGAAUUACUGGGCGUAAAGGGCACGCAGGCGGUUAAUUAAGUUGGAUGUGAAAUCCCCGGGCUUAACCUGGGAAUGGCAUUCAAGACUGGUUAGCUAGAGUCUUGUAGAGGGGGUAGAAUUCCAUGUGUAGCGGUGAAAUGCGUAGAGAUGUGGAGGAAUACCGGUGGCGAAGGCGGCCCCGUGGACAAAGGACUGACGCUCAUGUGCGAAAGCGUGGGGAGCAAACGAGGAUUAGAU